rnacentral:rRNA from 1 species
GAGUUUGAUCCUGGCUCAGAAUCAACGCUGGCGGCAGGCCUAACACAUGCAAGUCGAGCGGAUGACGGGAGCUUGCUCCUUGAUUCAGCGGCGGACGGGUGAGUAAUGCCUAGGAAUCUGCCUGGUAGUGGGGGACAACGUUUCGAAAGGAACGCUAAUACCGCAUACGUCCUACGGGAGAAAGCAGGGGACCUUCGGGCCUUGCGCUAUCAGAUGAGCCUAGGUCGGAUUAGCUAGUUGGUGGGGUAAUGGCUCACCAAGGCGACGAUCCGUAACUGGUCUGAGAGGAUGAUCAGUCACACUGGAACUGAGACACGGUCCAGACUCCUACGGGAGGCAGCAGUGGGGAAUAUUGGACAAUGGGCGAAAGCCUGAUCCAGCCAUGCCGCGUGUGUGAAGAAGGUCUUCGGAUUGUAAAGCACUUUAAGUUGGGAGGAAGGGCAGUAAGCGAAUACCUUGCUGUUUUGACGUUACCGACAGAA